GGCAUUUGCAGAAGCCUUGAGAUCUGACAUCAGUUUGAUGGUGACUUCACUGAUGGACUUGGGGAUGGCCGUCAACGUGAAUUCAGAAGAGCUGACAUGCUGAAGGUUCUGCCGCAUAUAUUUAUCCAGAUUGCGACCCCCUUGCUUCAGCCUGAGAUGGAUGUCAAGGGGAAAAUGUUCUGUUAGUGUCAGCUAAAAUUUCAAUCUUUUGAGUUAGUUCAGCUUUCUAUGUAUUUUUGUUUAAAAAUCUC
rnacentral:misc_RNA from 1 species